AUUGAACGCUGGCGGCAUGCCUUACACAUGCAAGUCGAACGGUAACAGAUCUUCGGAUGCUGACGAGUGGCGAACGGGUGAGUAAUACAUCGGAACGAGCCUAGUAGUGGGGGAUAACUACUCGAAAGAGUGGCUAAUACCGCAUGAGAUCUACGGAUGAAAGCAGGGGAUCGCAAGACCUUGUGCUACUAGAGCGGCCGAUGGCAGAUUAGGUAGUUGGUGGGAUAAAAGCUUACCAAGCCGACGAUCUGUAGCUGGUCUGAGAGGACGAUCAGCCACGCUGGGACUGAGACACGGCCCAGACUCCUACGGGAGGCAGCAGUGGGGAAUUUUGGACAAUGGGCGCAAGCCUGAUCCAGCAAUGCCGCGUGCAGGAUGAAGGCCUUCGGGUUGUAAACUGCUUUUGUACGGAACGAAAAGCCCUGGGUUAAUACCCUGGGGUCAUGACGGUACCGUAAGAAUAAGCACCGGCUAACUACGUGCCAGCAGCCGCCGUAACAC
rnacentral:rRNA from 1 species